AGGCCAUAACCCAAGGGACAGUCAAAUGCAACUUUUCUGGUGUGGCACUUGGAGACUCAUGGAUUUCACCACUGGACUCUGUUAUGACAUGGGGACCAUAUCUCUACACCACUUCCCUCCUGGAUGAUUACGGCCUGGCAGAUGUCAGUAAGGCAGCAGAGGCAGUGAAGCAAGCCGUGGAGCAGGGCCAGUUUCUUAAAGCGACUGAGCUGUGGUCUAUGACUGAGUCUGCUGUAGAGCGGGUUUGUACAACACUACAUGAUUUGGAGAAAAUGCUUGCUGGAUAUUUAAUGUAUUGUCUAAUCUUAAAUUGCUUUAUGGAAGUGGUGUUCCA